rnacentral:tRNA from 1 species
AGUUAAUUAGCUUAAUUAAAGCAUGUAUUUUGAAAGUACAAGAUUAAGACAUAAAUAUCUUAUUAACUU